AGAUGGAUAACGAAAGAAUAACCUUCACAGAACAGAAUCCGUUCAAGUACCCAAAGAGGAAGCAAAUCAAACCUAAGGGCACUAAUUGCUCCUUUUCAGACCCUGAGCAGGAAAUAACGUUUGUGGUAGAAUUAAGUCUUCAAAAUGCCUCUCAAAGUCCUCAAGGGAAUGACAAGAAUUCACCUUGCCAAGAGCUCAAGGUGUGUGGAUAUGGUAUUCCAGUAUGAAUUCUGAAGAGCAAUG
rnacentral:lncRNA from 1 species